rnacentral:lncRNA from 1 species
AUUAAGGGGCGUGCAGCAUGCGAUGAGGUGCGAUCAAACAGCCCAAGGAUGAGUCGAUUGAGAUCUGAUGGUUCAGAGGUGUGUUCGGGUGAUAAUCGGAGUGCAUCUUCGAUCAGGGCUCGGAUUCAGAUCUUUAAAUGGCCUAUGGACAGACUGAGAGGUAUCGAUGGUGGGGUGUUCGGCAAAACCUGAGAAACGCCAACAGCAGUUGAGAGAGGGAGUUCGAUAGUAGGCAGCAAAUCCUGAAGAGGCACUGACAGAAAGCAGAAGCAGGGAGCUUCAGGCAUACUAUCAGGUAGUGGACAGCGAUCGUUUCAGAGGUUCGAAAAUCUCUUAUAGAGAGAGAGCUUUUGUGAGGGAGAGCUUCUUAUUGAGAGAGAG